rnacentral:rRNA from 1 species
GACGAACCGAGCAAACGUUAUUCGGAAUCACUGGGCUUAAAGGGCGCGUAGGCGGGGCGGUAAGUCAGGGGUGAAAGCCCGCAGCUCAACUGAGGAAGUGCCUUUGAUACUGUUGAUCUCGAGGGAGAUAGGGGCGUGCGGAACUUCCGGUGGAGCGGUGAAAUGCGUAGAUAUGGGAAGGAACACCGGUGGCGAAAGCGGCGCGCUGGGCCUCUUCUGACGCUGAGGCACGAAAGCCAGGGUAGCAAACGGG